rnacentral:rRNA from 1 species
AUGGGGGACACGUAUGUCGCCGACGUUGCCUUCGGGGAGGAGGUGAUCACCACCACCGUGACGUCCUCCGGCGCGGCCGUGGAGGACUGGGUCGAGGAGGUGUACUCCAUGUACGCCGGCUGCCCCAACCAAAUCCUCGUGGGGCUCGACGUCGAGUGGCGUCCCAGCUACAGCCGCGUGCAGAACCCCGCCGCGCUCCUGCAGCUCUGCAUUGACCAGCGCUGCCUCAUCUUCCAGCUCCUCCACGCCGACUACAUCCCUGACGCCCUGUCGGUCUUCCUCAUGGACAACCAGUUCUGGUUCGUCGGCGUCGGCGUGGCCGCGGACGCCAAUCGCCUGGCCCAGGACUACGACCUGCAGGUGCGCAAUCUGGAGGACCUGCGCGGCGUCGCGGCCGAGGAGAUGGGCAUCCCGGAGCUCCGCCAGGCCGGGCUGAAAGACCUGGCGCCCCAAGUCUUGGGGGUUACCAUGCAGAAACCACGGCGGAUAACGAUGGGCCCGUGGGACGCCUGCUGCCUCUCCGACGAGCAGAUCCACUACGCCUGCACCGACGCCUACGUCUCCUCGCAGAUCGGAUUGGAGCUGUUCACCGGAAACUACUAG